GACGAACGCUGGCGGCGUGCUUAACACAUGCAAGUCGAACGGUAAGGCCCUUCGGGGUACACGAGUGGCGGACGGGUGAGUAACACGUGGGUGAUCUGCCCUGCACUUCGGGAUAAGCCUGGGAAACUGGGUCUAAUACCGGAUAGGACUCCGGACUGCAUGGUCUGGGGUGGAAAGCUUUUGCGGUGUGGGAUGGGCCCGCGGCCUAUCAGCUUGUUGGUGGGGUGAUGGCCUACCAAGGCGACGACGGGUAGCCGGCCUGAGAGGGUGACCGGUCACACUGGGACUGAGAUACGGCCCAGACUCCUACGGGAGGCAGCAGUGGGGAAUAUUGCACAAUGGGCGCAAGCCUGAUGCAGCGACGCCGCGUGAGGGAUGACGGCCUUCGGGUUGUAAACCUCUUUCAGCUAUGACGAAGCGCAAGUGACGGUAGUAGCAGAAGAAGGUCCGGCCAACUACGUGCCAGCCGCCGCAGUAA
rnacentral:rRNA from 1 species